UCGCGAGCACUCAGCUGUGAGUCAGUGUAAAUAAAAGAGCUGGCAUGUUAAAAAUGAGUCUAGAGCUUAUUUUGUUGUGUGUAUUAUGUUAUGUACUAUACUUAGUAUUUUUUAAUUUUACGAAAGAUCGUGUUAAAUUAAGAGACGAGCUUAAAUGGCGCAGAGAAAAUGAACAAAAGUUGAGGGAUGAUAUCAGAAGGGAAGAAGUAAAAAUAAGCUUUCUUAAAUAUCAUAAGCAAAUGGAGGAAAAACAACAACAGCUUGUGUUGGAGAUCGCACGCAAAGAUCAGCUAAUUCAUAAUUUGGAAAUCAAAAUAGAAGAGAAAGGAUUUUGGAGUUUUUGCAAAUCAACUUUAAGUAAAUAUAAAAAUAAGAUAACCGGCGCCAGCAGCACUCCUCAAGGUAGCCAGCAAUAGAACCCUACAGCAUAAUCACAAUGCAGCCUAGGAGCUGGGAGCUAGGAGCAAGGAUCUACAUUGACUCAGUCUACUUUCCAAUCUCUUUGGCUGACCUUUGAGCGGCUUGCAUCUGCUGAAUUCUUCGUUCGUACCUAUUAGCAUGUACAUAGUAUAUGCAAUAAAGAUUUAAUGGCUUGUGUUUUUCCUGAAAUUAAGUUGGUGCCCUGCGCAGCCAAUAAAUAAAUAAGAAAUGAAAUCGAGUAAAGCAACAACUAUACAGGAUCAAUUAUGUAUGAUAUUAUACACAUUUUUUGGUUACUCGGAAAUUCGAUCGUACACCGAGUUGUGGCAAAGCUCAUUUUGUCAGCAAUAAGUUUUAUUUUAUGGUGAUCUAAUCGGACAUGCCAACUCUUUGAAAUGUGUCGCAGAUCCUAGAGACUGGCAUAAUUUCAAAUCGAUAAAAAUGAUACAUUAACUCUUAUCGCACAGUUGAUUCCGUACGUUUUUUAUUGAUUGUUAUCGAUAUUAGCCCAUUGAAAUCGGUAGACGUAUCUGGGAUUUGUAUGAUUACUUGGUGAAAUAUAAAAUGAGCGAACUGCAGUUAUUUCUGUUGCCUUUAGCACUAUUUGCAAUAUAUUUGGUAUUCAUGAUUUGGAGGAAGGAACUUAAUAAUUUGACAAAAGUUGUAGAAAAUUCCAAAGAUAAAGAACAGUCGUUGAAAGAAGUCGCCUUGGAAAACAAAUUGAAGCUGCACAUUCUUAAAUAUGAAAGUUCUAUGGAGAGAAAAAGACAGGAUCUAAUUGUGGAGCAAAUGAGAACAAAACACACCCAAAAAACAAAUGUUAAGGUUAAUAUAAAUGUUAACAUUAAUAUGGGAAAGCCCGGUCUGUUCUAGGGUGAUAAUUUCGGAACGACAGCGCUAUCAAAUAAGAAUGUCGUAGUUGGAAAUCGAUAAACCCAUAACACUCAUAUACAUGACUAAAACAUUUUACCAUUAGAUAAGUAACUUCAAGCAACGAAUUAAAAUUGUUUAUUUUCUCAAAUUUAAAUAAUAAAAUGAUUACUUAUUG